UGGCAGGUGUAAGAAUUCUUAAAUUGCGAACCAACCCUCCUUCCUGGCUCCUGCCUUUGGCCCAAGCAGGUGAUCCAAAUAGAUGGUUUGCACCGAAGUGGCUUGCGGAGGAGUUGCUACUGGACUAGAGUAAUUAAUAAAGCACAGCAUAUUUCUGGGAACUUGGUUCAGGCUCUUUAGAGCCUUGAGCAUCUUUAUUGCGCCAGACCUGGAGCAGAAAUCUGGGCUGGAGGCAGGCAAGGCCAGUGGCCAGUCAGAAGGUGAACGUUGGAGCUGCACUGCCAAUUGGUCUGAGAUGUCUUGAAAUAAGCUGCCUUUUCCUGGAGCUGAGGUUAAAGAACUUGAUAGAGUCUGGUUUUUCCAUUCUGUUUGUCUUCAACCUGUCAAGUCUUUUACUUCAAGAAAAAGAUAACCCGGGCUGGAGAAAUGGCUCAGCGGUUAAGAGCACCCGACUACUCUUCCAGAGGUCCUGAGUUCAAUUCCCAGCAACCACGUGGUGGCUCACAACCAUCUGUAAAGAGAUCCGAUGCCCUCUUCUGGUGUGUCUGAAGACAGCUACAGUGUACUUAUAUAUAAUAAAUGAAUAAAUCUUUAAAAAAAAAAAAAGAAAAAGAAAAAGAUAACCCUUUGGGGUGGGGUCUCUCAGGAGAGGGUCCUACAGUGGCAUCACCUUUCUCACAGGGACUUUUUUGGAGGUUUGGGGUUUGUUAGCUUUGUGUCAUUCUGGUUUAGGUUGGGUUUUGUUUUUGUUCUUUGUUGAGCCAUAUGCUGACAUCUUACUAUGUAGCCUAAUCUGGUUUAGAACUCAUUUGAAAUCCUCCUGCCUCAGCCUCCUGAAAGCCAGGAUUACAGGCCUUAGACAUCAUACCUAGCUGUGGAAGAGGCAGACUAGAAAGACAGGAUAAUCACAGAAGAGAAAGGAAAAGAGCCCCACCCGCUGGGAUCUGUGAAGUUUCUCAGCUGCUAACAGUCAACUAUUACUGCUAGGAAUGGGUGUGGCGGUGCAGCCUUUAAUCCAGCACUCAGAAGGCAGAGGCAGGCCAAUAUCUCUGAGUUUGAGGCCAGUCUGGUCCACAGAGCUAGUUCCAGGACAGAUAGGGCUAUAGAGAAACCCUGUCUCUGAUAUAUAUAUAUGUUAAAAAUCCAGCUAGGAGUCUGGAGAGAUAGCUCAGAGAUAAGAGCCCUGGCUGCUUUCCCUGAAGACCAAAUUCAAUUCCAAGCACCCUCAUGGUGGCUCACAACUGUCCGUAACUCUAGUUCCAGGGACCCAAUGCCUUCUUUUGGCCUCUGUAGGCACUAGGCGCAAAUGUGGUACCCAAAUGUCUAUACAUGCAGGCAAAACAUAAAAUUUGAAAUAAAUUUUUUAAAUUCUUAAAAAGAAUUCCAGCUAGCUCAGUCAGUAGGAUUUGUCACACAAAAGGGAGGGCCUGUGGCUGGAAAGAUAGCACAGUGGUUCAGUGCACUUCCUGCUAUUCUGAAGGACCUGCAUUUGGUUCUCACUGUGUACCUCUGAAGGGCCUAGAAUUCGCAGAGACUUCUGUGCCUCCAGAGUGGCUGGGAUUAAAGGCAGGCACUGCUAUACCUUGAUAACUACAUUUUUAAUGGAUUUAUUUAUUAUAUACUGUAGCUGUCUUCAGACACACCAGAAGCGGGCAUCAGAUCUCAUUACAGAUGGUUGUGAGCCACCAUGUGGUUGCUGGGAAUUGAACUCAGGACCUCUGGAAGAGCAGUCAGUGCUCUUAACCACUGAGCCAUCUCUCCAGCCCGAUAACUACAUUUUUUUAAAGUUUAAUAUAUUGUUUAGUUUACUUCUGACAGUAUGAUCACUUUUUUAAGUAAUAGUAAAGCUCACCCAAGGUUCUCAAUUUGUAUAUUUACUCUUUUAGUAACAAUUGUAUAUAUUGAUAACUUGAAUCUCAAAUAUUUCUGAAAACAUUCCCUAUGUUCAUAUAUCUGUCAUUUUUUCUUUCUUUCUUUUUUUCCUCUUUCUUUUAUUAUACCCUAAGUUCACAGAGAUCUGCCUGCCUCUGCCCCCCAUGCUAGGAUUAAAGGGCUGUACCAUGAGAAACCAAAGGCUAUUAUUAGGUGUGGGAGAAUACACACACACAAACAACAGGCACACAGAGAAAGACCCUUGAAAGCGGAGGGGAGGACUGUAUGAAGAAGCUGUAUCUUCUUGAGGGCUAGAGGUUUUAAGGUUUUAACAAAGACUGGAAGCCUGAUAGGUCCAGAACUUUAAACAUGCCCUGGUCUGGCCUUGAAUUUGUCAGACCUAUCCACAAGCAGGGGGCCUUACAGUCAGAGAAAAAGUCUGCCAUGCCUCUCUUUUCAGGUGCUACGCUUUUGUCUUAGGUCAGGAGGAUAAAGAAGCAACCAGCCAUCUUGAAAGUUCACAAUCUCUAUUUAUCUAGUCAUGUCCCUUAUAGACAGUGUCCCAGUAGGGGCCUGUGAGGAGGCCUGAGGAGAGGCUAGAUGCUGACAUUAUUUUUUUAAGGUAUAUAUUUUUAGAACUAUGUGUGUAUUGAGUAUUCCCUGGGUGUGUGUAUGUGCACCAUAUGCUUGCCUGCUGUGAGUACCACCAUGUGGGUGCUCUGUAUCUCCCUGUCUGCCUAUCAUAGAAUCUACUUAACUCCUAGUGCCUUACUAGGAUUGAAGGUGGCUCUCAGCCCCAAAAGAAAACUGACUAUUCCUCUCCUAGCAGCCAUCAGCUUUCAGGAGCUCUGUCUUAUAAGAGAUGUCUCAGCAGUUAAGAACUUGUAUAGCUCCUCCAGAGGAGCCCAACCCCCAGUACCCAUGUUAGGUUAGCUCACACUGCUCUAACUCUGCCACUACCUCUGGGGUGUCGGAUGCCGGAGUCUUCUCUAGCACCAACAUUCACAUGUAUGUAACCACGUAGACACACAGGCACACACAUAACGUAAAAUAAAACAUGAGGCUGGAGGGACGGCUUGAUUGUCAAAAGCACUUGGUUCUCCUGCAGAGGACUCUAAUUCAUUUCCCAGUGCCUACAUGAUAGUACUCACUGCAGGCAUGUAUGAGAUGCACAUAUAUGUGCACAGGACACAUAAGAUAAAUCAUGGAUGUGUGGGGUGUGUGUGUGUGUGUGUGUGUGUGUGUGUGUGUGUGUGUGUAUUCUUUAAAAAAAGAAUGUUUCACUCUAGCCUCUCCUCAGGCCUCCUCACAGAUGCUGACAAGCCCCUACUGGGACACUGUCUAUAUAAGGCCCACACUAGCAAACUAUGAUAUAAGCUCACAUCAAAGGGGUGCCACAUAAGCUCAUGUCACAGGGGUACAAUACCCUGUUUUCCACCCCUUUUCCUGCUUCCUGCUCUAGCCUGGGAAUCAGAGAACCUGGCUAUAGGCUCCUGAGUGAACCUCCCCAUCUCUCAAAAAGUAUAAAAGGAGAAUCCCCAAGCCCUGGAGAGAUGGAUCAGUGUUUAAGAGCACUGCUGCUCUUGCAGAGGAUCCAGGUUCAGAUCCCAGCACCCACAUGGCAGCUCCCAACCAUCUAUAACCCCAGCUAUAGGGACACCAGGCACUCACGUGGCACAUAGAUAUACAUACAAACACUCAUGUUCAUAAACAUAAAACCGUAAAAUUCACAAGAAGAAAACGAGGCUCCCUCCUCUGCCACGUUGCUCUGCUUGUGUUCAGAGACCCCACCAUGCCCCUGGUGCUGAGGCCCACACUCUCCUACACCACACCACGCUGUUGUCCCUCUGUCCACACUGUUGUUAAUGCCAAAGAUUCGAGCAGAAAGAUCAACCCAAAUCAUCGUGGCCAAGUUAAUUAAAGCAAUCAAUUAAUCCAAAGAUUAUUUAUUUGUGCACAAGUGUAGGCAUGUUUUUGUGACUGUGUAAAGGCUAUCCUUGUGUUACUCAAAUGCUGGUUUCUCUGCCCCCGUAUCUUGUAUCAAUCUGGACAUGGCUCUGGUACGUUCAUUCUUAGAAGCUCCUGUCUCAAGUUUGUAUAAACACUGCUCCUCAUUCAUUCUCUGCCUUGCCCAUAAAAGCCACCAAGCUGACACAGAGCUUUAGGUAGAAUAAGGCGGGACUUCCGAUUAUUAUAGGGAAGAGGAAGAGAAAGAAACCGUGAGGGAGGGAGCCAUGAGGAGAGACUGAAGAGGCUUCAGAAGAGAGCUGGAUCAAGAAAGGACAAAGAAGGGCUGGGGAUUUAGCUCAGUGGUAGAGCGCUUACCUAGGAAGCGCAAGGCCCUGGGUUCGGUCCCCAGCUCCGAAAAAAAGAACCAAAAAAAAAAAAGGACAAAGAAAAAAUUCAAGUAAUGUGGGAAUGUUGUCUGGGAGGAAGCCUGACUCGUAUGGAGCUUUAGAGGAGAAAUAACUGCUCAGUAUAUGAGAUUUUAAUAAAUCUCAAUCUCUUUGUGUGGUUAUUGGGGAAUUAGCGCAUUAAGGAAUAACUGUUGCCAUACUAAUUUUAUAAAUGUAGAGUCCAUAAAUAAUAAUAAUUUUACAAAGAAGGCCGUCUCUUUCUUUUCUUUUUUUUUUUUUUUUGGUUGUUUUUUUCGGAGCUGGGGACCGAACCCAGGGCCUUGUGCUUCCUAGGUAAGCGCUCUACCACUGAGCUAAAUCCCCAGCCC